rnacentral:rRNA from 1 species
AACGAACGCUGGCGGCAUGCCUAACACAUGCAAGUCGAACGAGACCUUCGGGUCUAGUGGCGCACGGGUGCGUAACGCGUGGGAACCUGCCCUUAGGUUCGGAAUAACCCCCCGAAAGGGGUGCUAAUACCGGAUAAUGUCUUCGGACCAAAGAUUUAUCGCCUUUGGAUGGGCCCGCGUUGGAUUAGCUAGUUGGUAGGGUAAAAGCCUACCAAGGCGACGAUCCAUAGCUGGUCUGAGAGGAUGAUCAGCCACACUGGGACUGAGACACGGCCCAGACUCCUACGGGAGGCAGCAGUGGGGAAUAUUGGACAAUGGGCGAAAGCCUGAUCCAGCAAUGCCGCGUGAGUGAUGAAGGCCUUAGGGUUGUAAAGCUCUUUUACCCGGGAUGAUAAUGACAGUACCGGAAGAAUAAGCUCCGGCUAACUCCGUG